rnacentral:rRNA from 1 species
GAAUGCUGACAUAAGUAACGAUAAAGCGGGUGAAAAGCCCGCUCGCCGGAAGACCAAGGGUUCCUGUCCAACGUUAAUCGGGGCAGGGUGAGUCGACCCCUAAGGCGAGGCCGAAAGGCGUAGUCGAUGGGAAACGGGUUAAUAUUCCCGUACUUGGUGUUACUGCGAAGGGGGGACGGAGAAGGCUAUGUUGGCCGGGCGACGGUUGUCCCGGUUUAAGCGUGUAGGUGUGUGUUCCAGGUAAAUCCGGUUCACUUUAACACUGAGGCGUGAUGACGAGGCACUACGGUGCUGAAGCAACAAAUGCCCUGCUUCCAGGAAAAGCCUCUAAGCAUCAGGUAACAUCAAAUCGUACCCCAAACCGACACAGGUGGUCAGGUAGAGAAUACCAAGGCGCUUGAGAGAACUCGGGUGAAGGAACUAGGCAAAAUGGUGCCGUAACUUCGGGAGAAGGCACGCUGACACGUAGGUGAAGUGAUUUACUCACGGAGCUGAAGUCAGUCGAAGAUACCAGCUGGCUGCAACUGUUUAUUAAAAACACAGCACUGUGCAAACACGAAAGUGGACGUAUACGGUGUGACGCCUGCCCGGUGCCGGAAGGUUAAUUGAUGGGGUCAGCGCAAGCGAAGCUCCUGAUCGAAGCCCCGGUAAACGGCGGCCGUAACUAUAACGGUCCUAAGGUAGCGAAAUUCCUUGUCGGGUAAGUUCCGACCUGCACGAAUGGCGUAAUGAUGGCCAGGCUGUCUCCACCCGAGACUCAGUGAAAUUGAACUCGCUGUGAAGAUGCAGUGUACCCGCGGCAAGACGGAAAGACCCCGUGAACCUUUACUAUAGCUUGACACUGAACAUUGAGCCUUGAUGUGUAGGAUAGGUGGGAGGCUUUGAAGCGUGGACGCCAGUCUGCGUGGAGCCGACCUUGAAAUACCACCCUUUAAUGUUUGAUGUUCUAACGUGGACCCGUAAUCCGGGUUGCGGACAGUGUCUGGUGGGUAGUUUGACUGGGGCGGUCUCCUCCUAAAGAGUAACGGAGGAGCACGAAGGUUGGCUAAUCCUGGUCGGACAUCAGGAGGUUAGUGCAAUGGCAUAAGCCAGCUUGACUGCGAGCGUGACGGCGCGAGCAGGUGCGAAAGCAGGUCAUAGUGAUCCGGUGGUUCUGAAUGGAAGGGCCAUCGCUCAACGGAUAAAAGGUACUCCGGGGAUAACAGGCUGAUACCGCCCAAGAGUUCAUAUCGACGGCGGUGUUUGGCACCUCGAUGUCGGCUCAUCACAUCCUGGGGCUGAAGUAGGUCCCAAGGGUAUGGCUGUUCGCCAUUUAAAGUGGUACGCGAGCUGGGUUUAGAACGUCGUGAGACAGUUCGGUCCCUAUCUGCCGUGGGCGCUGGAGAACUGAGGGGGGCUGCUCCUAGUACGAGAGGACCGGAGUGGACGCAUCACUGGUGUUCGGGUUGUCAUGCCAAUGGCACUGCCCGGUAGCUAAAUGCGGAAGAGAUAAGUGCUGAAAGCAUCUAAGCACGAAACUUGCCCCGA